rnacentral:rRNA from 1 species
GACGAACGCUGGCGGCGUGGAUUAGGCAUGCAAGUCGGACGGUAGGGCUUUAUCGUAAGAUAGAGUUUGAGAGUGGCGAACGGGUGAGUAACACGUAGGAAUCUACCCUUAAGACGGGGACAACCCAGGGAAACUUGGGCUAAUACCGGAUGAGAGUGCGAGAGAUUGCAUUUAAAAGGAUGGCGAAAGUUGUCGCUUAGGGAUGAGCCUGCGGUCUAUUAGUUAGUUGGUGAGGUAAGAGCUCACCAAGGCGAUGAUAGAUAGGCGGCCUUAACGGGUGGUCGCCCACACUGGUACUGAGACACGGACCAGACUCCUACGGGAGGCAGCAGUGAGGAAUAUUGGUCAAUGGGCGCAAGCCUGAACCAGCCAUCCCGCGUGCAGGAAGACGGCCCUAUGGGUUGUAAACUGCUUUUCCAGGGAGAGAAACUUACGCACGUGUUGCGUGACUGACGGUACCCUGGGAAUAAGCAUCGGCUAACUCCGUGCCAGCAGCCGCGGUAAAGU